UACGUAGGGUGCAAGCGUUGUCCGGAAUUAUUGGGCGUAAAGAGCUUGUAGGCGGUUUGUCGCGUCUGCUGUGAAAAUCCGGGGCUCAACCCCGGACUUGCAGUGGGUACGGGCAGACUAGAGUGUGGUAGGGGAGACUGGAAUUCCUGGUGUAGCGGUGAAAUGCGCAGAUAUCAGGAGGAACACCGAUGGCGAAGGCAGGUCUCUGGGCCGACUACUGACGCUGAGAAGCGAAAGCAUGGGGAGCGAACAGG
rnacentral:rRNA from 1 species